GCAGUGGUAGUUCUAUGGUAGAAUUCUCUUUUUUUUUUAUGUGGGAGACCCAGGUUCAAUUCCUGGCCAACGUA
rnacentral:tRNA from 1 species